rnacentral:rRNA from 1 species
AUCAAGCUCCUGUGCUAGAACAUUAGGGGCUUCGGCAACCUGGGCCACCGUCGCCAGCUGAUUGAUUACAUCCGGCAGGAAGAUAUUGACGUAGUAGGUCUUCAGGAGACGAUUCGUCAGGAGUUCUCCAUUCAGGAGUUACAUGGGCUCUCUCGACAC